GAGUACCGAAAUCUGAGACUUUGCUUUUUUUAGAUCCAAAUUGGUAAAAAACUACCGAAUUUUGUAAUGCGACGUUCUGAAAAUUUCUCAAAAAAAAAAAAAAAAAAAUUUUUUAAAGC
ensembl:lincRNA linc-131 ncRNA